UUAGGCUAAAUUGCUAUCACUAAAAUUCCUAGUCUGGUCCCAGCCUGUUACCAUGUAAGAACAGACAUGGAAUCUAGGAAUUAAGGGGAAAGACUUUAUUAAGGAAAAACAUACCUAUUUCUCCUUCCCUUCCCCUUAAGGGUAACUAAGCUGUCACCAUGAAUACCAAGACUGCUAUUUCUUCUCGAAUUUGCAUUUGGCAUCCUCCCAGGUAAUUUCUGGAGCACAUCCUGACCCAGCUCCGGAAGAAACCAUAUAGCUCCUUUAGUAUCAUUAGUAACUAAAAAGACCAAAAUGUUUAAAGGCAGAGGAAAUUCAUCUCCAAAAAGGAGUCAUGCACAGAACUCUCUGCUCUGUACCACACACGAUUUCUCUACCCACACAAGCCAGCCAUCGUAGGAAAGAGAACGAGACUUCUAGAACCCUGCCCUCUAACCUCUGCUUUUCUUUUCUUUUUUUUUUUUCCCCCUCUCUGCUUCUCCUGGGAGUUGAGGAAUUCUGGAAAAUUGCUGCAGGCUUUAGCUUCCAGUUGGUCCACCGUGAUGCUGAUUUAUCUAUGGGACAUUUUCGAUCUCUAUUCUUGGCAAGAAACUGCAGAAUUGCACAAGCUGUCACCUGAAGGAAACCGCUCCUGGUUGCUCACAUCACCGCCUAAGCCCUGCCUCCGCCACCUCCAAGCAGCCGCAGGAAAACGAGCUCAGGACUCCCACCAAUUCUGCAGUAUGGUGCCAUGCGUGAACAUCUCAGCAGGUUAAAAGUGGAGAAAUCCCAGAAGAUUGGAGCCCUAAAAAGGUGACGCUGCUGCCACUGUGUGACAAAUGGCCGUCUAUGGACAGUCCUUAUCAGACACCAGAUCUGCUCAUGCUGUGGUCUUGGACUUCCCAGCCUCCAGAACUGGCAGGGAGAAGAAGGAAGAGAUGAGGACACCGGAGAGUUUUGCCGCCCAGCUUUGUCUGAUGAAUUGGUCUUGAGUCCCAGAGAAGAGCAGAGACAGAGGGAAGAGCCAAGAAGUCCCCAAAAGACCCGUGACCAGAGCUGAAUGUAAGAGAAGCAGCACACACCCAUCGAGACUGCAUGUCCUUCCUUCGAGGU